AGUGAACGCUGGCGGUAGGCCUAACACGCAAGUCGAACGGCAGCACAGUAAGAGCUUGCUCUUACGGGUGGCGAGUGGCGGACGGGUGAGGAAUACAUCGGAAUCUACUUUUUCGUGGGGGAUAACGUAGGGAAACUUACGCUAAUACCGCAUACGACCUACGGGUGAAAGCAGGGGAUCUUCGGACCUUGCGCGAUUGAAUGAGCCGAUGUCGGAUUAGCUAGUUGGCGGGGUAAAGGCCCACCAAGGCGACGAUCCGUAGCUGGUCUGAGAGGAUGAUCAGCCACACUGGAACUGAGACACGGUCCAGACUCCUACGGGGGGCAGCAGUGGGGAAUAUUGGACAAUGGGCGCAAGCCUGAUCCAGCCAUACCGCGUGGGUGAAGAAGGCCUUCGGGUUGUAAAGCCCUUUUGUUGGGAAAGAAAAGCAGCAGGUUAAUACCCCGCUGUUCUGACGGUACCCAAAGAAUAAGCACCGGCUAACUUCGUG
rnacentral:rRNA from 1 species